rnacentral:rRNA from 1 species
GUGGGGAAUAUUGCACAAUGGGCGAAAGCCUGAUGCAGCGACGCCGCGUGAGCGAAGAAGUAUUUCGGUAUGUAAAGCUCUAUCAGCAGGGAAGAUAAUGACGGUACCUGACUAAGAAGCACCGGCUAAAUACGUGCCAGCAGCCGCGGUAAUACGUAUGGUGCAAGCGUUAUCCGGAUUUACUGGGUGUAAAGGGAGCGUAGGCGGUUUUACAAGUCUGAUGUGAAAGCCCGCAGCUCAACUGCGGUAUUGCAUUGGAAACUGUAGAACUAGAGUGUCGGAGGGGUAAGUGGAAUUCCUAGUGUAGCGGUGAAAUGCGUAGAUAUUAGGAGGAACACCAGUGGCGAAGGCGGCUUACUGGACGAUUACUGACGCUGAGGCUCGAAAGCGUGGGGAGCAAACAGG